rnacentral:rRNA from 1 species
UACGUAGGGGGCUAGCGUUGUCCGGAAUCAUUGGGCGUAAAGAGCGCGUAGGCGGCCAGAUAAGUCCGGUGUGAAAGUCCAGGGCUCAACCCUGGGAUGCCGGUCGAUACUGCCGGACUAGAGUUCGGAAGAGGCGAGUGGAAUCCCCGGUGUAGCGGUGAAAUGCGCAGAUAUCGGGAGGAACACCAAUGGCGAAGGCAGCUCGCUGGGACGUUACUGACGCUGAGACGCGAAAGCGUGGGGAGCAAACAGG